GAGCAAUUUUUCGAUUCAAAA
rnacentral:piRNA from 1 species